rnacentral:rRNA from 1 species
ACUCCUACGGGAGGCAGCAGUAGGGAAUCUUCCACAAUGGACGAAAGUCUGAUGGAGCAACGCCGCGUGAGUGAAGAAGGGUUUCGGCUCGUAAAAACUCUGUUGUUAAAAGAAAGAACAUAUCUGAGAGUAACUGUUCAGGUAUUGACGGUAUUUAACCAGAAAGCCACGGCUAACUACGUGCCAGCAGCCGCGGUAAUACGUAGGUGGCAAGCGUUGUCCGGAUUUAUUGGGGCGUAAAGCGAGCGCAGGCGGUUUUUAAGUCUGAUGUGAAAGCCUUCGGCUCAACCGAAGAAGUGCAUCGGAAACUGGGAAACUUGAGUGCAGAAGAGGACAGUGGAACUCCAUGUGUAGCGGUGAAAUGCGUAGAUAUAUGGAAGAACACCAGUGGCGAAGGCGGCUGUCUGGUCUGUAACUGACGCUGAGGCUCGAAAGUAUGGGUAGCAAACAGGAUUAGAUACCCUGGUAGGAUAGCG